rnacentral:rRNA from 1 species
CAGUCGCCGCGGGAAUACGUAGGGUGCGAGCGUUAAUCGGAAUUACUGGGCGUAAAGCGUGCGCAGGCGGUUCGUUAAGACAGAUGAGAAAUCCCCGGGCUUAACCUGGGAACUGCAUUUGUGACUGGCGAGCUAGAGUAUGGCAGAGGGGGGUAGAAUUCCACGUGUAGCAGUGAAAUGCGUAGAGAUGUGGAGGAAUACCGAUGGCGAAGGCAGCCCCCUGGGCCAAUACUGACGCUCAUGCACGAAAGCGUGGGGAGCAAACAGGAUUAGAUACCCGGGUAGUCCCUGUCUCUUAUAC